UUUAACAUUUGACAUCGAUGUACAGUUAUAUACAAGACAAUACCUUUAACAUUUGACAUCGUUGUACAGUUAUACACCCAAAGCAUUGUCCACCAAUGUACCUUAUUAUUCAACAACAAUUAUGGCCGUGAAUCACAAGAGAAACAUAGAUUGCUCUGAUGAUGACAUUUAUUAUUAUGUCAUCAUAAAUUCAGGCAAUGGUUCUGGGUAUUUUAUUUGGCUGUGGUUCUGGGUAUUUUAUUUGGCUAUGGUUCUGGGUAUUUUGUUUGGCUGUGGUUCUGGGUAUUUUAUUUGGCUGUGGUUCUGGG